rnacentral:rRNA from 1 species
AUUGAACGCUGGCGGCAUGCUUUACACAUGCAAGUCGAACGGUAACAGGCCGCAAGGUGCUGACGAGUGGCGAACGGGUGAGUAAUGCAUCGGAACGUGCCCAGUCGUGGGGGAUAACUGCUCGAAAGAGCAGCUAAUACCGCAUACGAUCUAUGGGUGAAAGCGGGGGACCGUAAGGCCUCGCGCGAUUGGAGCGGCCGAUGUCAGAUUAGGUAGUUGGUGGGGUAAAGGCUCACCAAGCCAACGAUCUGUAGCUGGUCUGAGAGGACGACCAGCCACACUGGGACUGAGACACGGCCCAGACUCCUACGGGAGGCAGCAGUGGGGAAUUUUGGACAAUGGGGGCAACCCUGAUCCAGCAAUGCCGCGUGCAGGAAGAAGGCCUUCGGGUUGUAAACUGCUUUUGUACGGAACGAGACGGUCUGGGUUAAUACCCUGGGCUAAUGACGGUACCGUAAGAAUAAGCACCGGCUAACUACGUGCCAGCCGCCGCAGUAAUAC